AGGAGCUGGAGGGAAAAAAACUAUGAGCCGAGAGAAAAGGAGAGAGAUACAUUGGCAACAUAUACAACACCUAAUUGUGCUUAAUGCCAAUGAAGCAGAGUUAAUAGAAUUGAUAGAUGUAUGUUUGGAGCAGGGUGCCUGGUGUAAAACAAGUUAAAUGUCUGGAUGACAAAAAAACAACACAAAUAAAACAGAAAUGUGAAACUGGUAAACAUGAAGCCAGUUUCACACUUCUGUGUUCAUUUUAUAAUGCAGGACCAUCAGGAAUAUGGUGGAAAGACUGUUUUAUAUAUAUUAACUGUCAUGUAAUUGUCAGAUUUUAUGAACAGUUUCAUGCUUUUGUUUAUUCAUUUGCAAAAAUGUUUGUAGGCCUGCAUACAGUGACUUACCAGAGUAUGCAACUGUGCAGCCCAAUGCGAUGUGAAGUUUUGGCGGACACUGUAUCAGAGAAGAAUUGAUAAAACCCAUUUAAAUGGUACUGGUAAUGUAAUAUAGUACAAUAUAACAUCAUAGUGUAACUACACCCUCAGAACAUUUGCAUUUUCCUUAGAAAGUUUAGAGUCUCAGCUGUUCAGGCUGCAGAUCUUAAUGUAACUCUGAGUGUGUUAAAUCAGCACCUAGCUAGUGUUUCCAUCUCUUCAUACUCAAACACUGUUACAUACUGUAGUUAUGAACUGUUACCUCAGAGGCAUGUCAGCUCUCUGGGUGGACAAGCGACUCUCCAAUCAACAUUUGUCAUCUCAAAGUAAAUAUCAAUGAAAUAACAGCUUGAAUAUGAUGUUUAGUUUUCCUGAAGUGGUUUCUGACUAAAGGCACCAUGCCUUUAAACGCAACGUGUCUGCAACUGUCCAGAUGUAAUUUAGAUUAGAUUAGAUGUAAUUUUAAUGAUCCCUGUGGACGAGUAAUGGAAUGUAGCUUGAGAAACUAAUUUAUAGCUAAUCAUUAUUGAACAAAGUGUUUAACUGUGAAGAAAGGAAAGGCAAGAAAAGGAAUCCACACUAGAGGAUAAGACACUGAGAUACAUGCUGUGGUUAUUUCACCAGUGGCCUAGAUUAAGCCGGCUAGAUGGUGUUUGGCAUUUUGAAGUAUGUGUGUGUGUGUGUGUGUGUGUCUGUGUGUGUGUGUGUUUGUGCACACUCACUGGGCUUUACACCAGCUGUGCCACUGCACACAAGGAAGGAGCUGCCGCCAAAAUGAGCUGUCUUCACAAAGAGCCAAAAAUCAUCCAGCACGCCACUGGGCACACACAUAUACACACACACACACACACAUAUAAACACACAUACCCACAUAUGUGAAUACAUUGCACAGACAGAUGCGGACAUACAUACGAGAUCCCAGUUAAAAAGGUGUGAAUUUAAUAGUGGACAAAACAUAUCUCCUGAGUUUUCAUUUUAAACCUGUAAAGUGUAUCAUCAAUUAUGUCACUAGAGUGUGUACACAUGUGAACAUUUUUGCGUGCAUGCGUGUGUGUACGCAUGUGUGCAGAGCCAAACAGCCAAGUGCUCUCAGGUUUGAUGGCUUUCUGUUAUGACUCCAUUAUGCUGAUGGCUUUGGUUCUGUUCCAGGUUCUCUAUGUGUGUGUGUGUUUCUGUGUGUGCGUGCGUGUGUGUGUGUGUGUGUAUAUGGUGGCAGGAGAACACUUGCACUCCACAGCAUCAUUAAGGAUUGAUGAAGCGUCUCUGCAGAGCCUGGCUCUGACUCCUGAGAGGAUCCCAGGCUUCCUCAUCCAGUCCAGGAGUCCACUCUACUUCUACUCCCCACACCAUCGCUGGAACACCCCAGAUCACCCAACACCACUCUCUGACAUUGACACGGGUUUAGGGACCUCCUCUGCUAAUGCGAGCUUCAAGCCACAGCUGAAUCCUGGAUGUUGGUUAGAAAAGGAGAUGAGAAGUAGCAGAACAAGUCAUGGUGGCAGGAACACUGUAAGUUAUUAUGCAUUAUUGCAUUAGACAUUAGCCUACUUUUGUUAAUUAUUUUGGACAGUUGUGUAUUUGCCUUUAAUUUAAGUUUAAAAGGAGGUAAAGUGCUACAACACACUUGCCGCAGAGCCAUUUUGGCUUCAACUUUGGCUCUACAGCAUAUUGCAGUUAGACUAAAAAUAUUGCACAUACAUGUUUGCAUAGGUCUUUGUUAUUACAUUAUGGUAUGUCUCUCUGUAAACACUUAUCAUUGUGUGUGUAUGUUUUCCAGGCUUCUUCAUGUCUGCUACACCAGGAAAGUCCAGUCGCUGGAUGUACGGCCGUACUGUAAGAGAACAAAGGUCAUCAAAAGGGCAGACCAUGCAGGCAGUGCCGGAGCCAAACAUCUCUUUGACCCGCUGCUGCUUCAGAGCGCAGCACAGCUGGCUCAUGGUCAGGUAACGCUCCGUCACCUUGAAUUCACCCUGGGAGAAGAAGAGGGCAGACGGAUCAGAGGAAAUGUAUCCUUGCAUGUUGACCUUUAAUG